GACGAACGCUGGCGGCGUGCUUAAUACAUGCAAGUCGAACGACGUGGCGAACGGGUGAGUAAUACGUGGGUAACCUGCCCUCCUUUUUGGGAUAAGCCUUGGAUACGGGGUCUAAUACCGAAUAAAGGGGGUUGGGCUCGCGGCCUUUCAGCUUGUUGGGGGGGUGAUGGCCUACCAAGGCGGUGACGGGUAGCCGGCCUGAGGGGGUGACGGGACAGAUUGGGAUUGAGAGACGGCCCGGGCUGCUACGGGAGGGAGCAGUGGGGAAUGGUGCACAAUGGGCGAAAGCAUGAUGCAGCGACGGCGCGUGGGGGAUGAAGGCUUUCGGGUUGUAAACCUCGUUCGCUAUCGAGCGGGUAGGUGGAGAAGAAGCGCCGGCUAACUACGUGCCAGCAGCCGCGGUAAUAC
rnacentral:rRNA from 1 species